AGUAAGUCAGACAAUCGCUGCUGAUUUUUUCAGGAGAGGAAAGUCCGAGCUCCGUAGGGCAGGGUGCUGGGUAACUCCCAGUGGAGGUGACUCUAAGGAAAGUGCAACAGAGAUAUACCGCCAGAACAAGUUUACUUGUGAGUUUAGAUUUUAUCUAACUGGUAAGGGUGGAAAGGUGAGGUAAGGGCUCACCAGCGUACUGGCGACUGUACGGCUAUGUAAACCCCAUCUGGAGCAAGAUCGAAUAGGGGGAUAUAUGGGGCUGCCCGUCCCGUCCCCGGGUGUAUCGCUUGAGUUUAUUGGUAACAAUAGGCCUAGAUAGAUGAUUGUCAAAUACAGAACUCGGCUUAUAGAUUUA
rnacentral:RNase_P_RNA from 1 species